UCGACGAAAAGUCAAAACAUCCACAAAAACUAGAGGGGAAUAGAAAAUAAAUUUACCAAAUUAAGCCCAUGACACAUGUUGAGACUUCACCUUCAACCCAAGCUUGAAUGGAAAUUAGCUACUCAUAAUUGAACUAGGGGCAAAAUGGGAAUUUAUUAAAAUACGAAGAAAAUACAAGAUGGAGAGGGAAUUACAGAAAAUGGAUCCCAAAAAUGGAUUCAGAGAUAUCAAAUUAGGGGGGAGAGGCCCCCUUUUUAUAGAUACAUGGAGUAAAUCAUGGCCAUCGGAUUAAAAACAGUUUGGACGCUCA
rnacentral:lncRNA from 1 species